CUGGCAUGGUGCGGUGGGGCAGCUGGUGUUGUGAAUCAGGCCGUUGCCAAUGAGAGAACGGCUACUUCACAACACCAGGGUCGCACUCCACCACAGG
ensembl:miRNA MIR138-1 microRNA 138-1